CCGGCCUUAGCUCAGUUGGUAGUAGCGGCAGACUGUAGUUGGCAUAGCCAGACAUCUGUAGGUCCCUGGUUCGACUCCGGGAGGCCGGA